CUAACUUUGGUGGCGGCUAAAUGCCUCCGUUUGCCCUAGCUUUGGUGGCGACGCAGAAGCUGCGAUCCGAGGACGGAGGACGUCGGUUAGGGCGAUUUCGGUCCAGGUGUAUAGUAGAUGUGUUUGAGAGACACUCGACGUCUUUGUUGACCUCUGUUUGGUGAUUAGAGGUGAUAUCUAUCAUCAAAGGAAUCUCACACAAUCUCUUUUAAUAAAUAUGUUCAGGCAGGACCAUCACAUUCCCCUUCGCGAGUACAUGCAGGACCUUCACAUUCGCCGUCGCCAAUACAUGCAGGACCAUCACAUUCUCCUUCGCCAGUACCUUCACCGCAAAAUUUGGCAGAUCCGGCUCCUACCAGAUACUCAUUUUCUGAGACCCAAGAUGUUCGAAUAUUUAUUGUCCCCUCCGGAGAUUCGAUUGGUCAAGACAUAAUGAAAAUCAAUGUUGGAGUAACUAAAAAAUUAUUUUUUUGUUCAUAUAUAGUAAUUUCUUUAUUGUAAUUAUUGAUAUUGUUUAUAUUAUGCAGGAAGAAGAUGAAGAAGAUAGAGAAGAUUUAGUCAUAUUUCGGAUUUUGUUGAAAUAUGGAUGGUUUAGAACUUAUGAUGUUUGGAUUGUAUGGAUAUUAGAUCUUUUGUGAUGUUUAUAUUUUGAUGUAUUAUAUGUUUGGCUUGCAAGGAUAUUAGAUCAUGUUUGUAUUUUGAUGUAUCAUAUGUUUGGAUUGUAAGGAUAUUAGAUGAUGAUUGCAUUUUAAUUUAUGGAAUGCUUGGAUUUUUUGUGA